GAAUAAAGUCCCUGGCACGUUCAACGAGACGAUUAUGGUUGAUGUUUUACAAAAUGUUUAAGUCGAUAGCCUUAAAAAGCUCUGCUGAGUUAAGUGAAAUUACUUAUAAUAAUGGCAACAAAUUAGUCAUUCGCUGAAAGACCUCUUGUAAGACUUCUGAGUAGCAUUGAUGAAUGUACUUUGUCACAGUGUUGCUAUGAAUUUAUUACUGCAAACACUGCUGAGAAUUAUUAUCUGGAGUCUUGCAGCUGCGGUUCACAUCCGUGGUUAACAUAAUGAAACCCCAGCAAAACACCACCGUCAAAAAUCUCCGCUUGAUUAGUUCUGUUCCUCUCCUGCGACGGCAAUCCUUCAUGAUCGUGAGUUAAAGUAAAACUUGGUUAUUUUUUCCGAAGAAAACAAUUAAAAAGAGGACACAAUAUGGACUCAAAUCCUCUCCUAUGUUCUUGAUUGGUAUAGCAAUAGAUUAUUGGAUUGGUUGAUGAAUUAAACAUGGCUAAGACUAUCGUAAAGUGGUGAAAAGGUGUCUCGAGCUUCACGAAUUCAAACGUUGAUAAAGCAAAGUAAAGCUGGUUUGGAAACCAACACAGAGUUAACAAUAACGCUACUAUGAUACACAUGCGUAGAAGCUUGAAUCGAGUACGACUGACGCGUUUGUUGUGUCUUCCAGGAAAACUCCUUGACGACAGAGAUAUAUGUUUUACCACGGAGAACCACCUCUCUAAGGCGAGACUUGUAACUGAGAAAACAGAAACUUUGCCCAGGAGGAACACGAAAUACUGGGAACCAAUGAUCUUGCAGAAGAUCACACCCAACUUUGCAGGUGGUGCUGGGUACGAGUCGAGGGCGAUCAGGUUUUGUGUUGUUUCUUUGUCAAACCGCUCUAACUUGUAACUGAAACCGUUGAAAGUUACUUCUGGGUCAGAUGCA